UCGAACGUGCUGGGGCGCGGGU
rnacentral:misc_RNA from 1 species